rnacentral:lncRNA from 1 species
AUGGGGAGCCCUCUCAGCCCAGUAGUAGCAAAUUUCUAUAUGGAAUACUUUGAAAAACAGGCCCUAGAAACAGCACCAAAAAAGCCAACUGUUUGGUUCAGAUACGUAGAUGACACCUUCACAAUUUGGAGCCAUGGAGAGGAAGAACUCAGCAAGUUCCUGGACCAUCUUAACAGCAUCCACCCAAACAUCCAAUUCACCAUGGAAAAAGAAAAGGAAGGAAAACUGCCAUUUCUAGAUGUUCUGGUCAUCCGCAAACCCAAUCAACAAUUGGGCCACACAGUUUACAGAAAACCUACACAUACAGAUAGAUACCUUCAUAAAAACUCCAACCAUCACCCAAGUCAAAAAAGGAGCACAAUCAAAGCCCUGACAGACCGUGCACAAAGAAUCUGCGAACCUCACCUCCUCCAAGGUGAACUCAACCACCUAAACUGGGCUCUACAGGCCAAUGGAUACUCCACCACAGACAUCAGAAGAGCUGCAAGGCCAAGAACAAGCCAUGAGAGUCAAGACAAAGAUCCACCCAGAGGAAAGGUGUUCUUACCAUACAUCAAGGGAACUACUGACCGCAUAGGGAAGCUGAUGAAGAAGCACAACCUACAAACUAUCUACAGACCCACGAAGAAAAUCCAACAAAUGCUACGGUCAGCGAAGGACAAGAGGGAUCCUCUCUCUUCUGCAGGAGUCUACCGGAUACCAUGCAGCUGUGGACAAGUCUACAUAGGGACCACCAAACGCAGCGCCCAAACAAGAGUCAAAGAACAUGAAAGGCACUGCAGACUAAUUCAACCAGAGAAAUCAGCCAUAGCAGAGCAUUUGAUGAACCAGCCUGGACACAGAAUACUAUUUGAGAACACAAAAAUGCUGGACCAUUCUAACAACUAUCAUGUCAGACUACACAGAGAAGCCAUUGAAAUCCACAAGCAUGUGGACAACUUCAACAGAAAGGAAGAAACCAUGAAAAUGAACAAAAUCUGGCUACCAGUAUUACAAAACUCCAAAAUCAAAACAGUAGAUGGGAACCAACACAAUGAGGACUUGACUGAACAAAGGAUGCCCCCAGGCAAGGGACAAAAACAUUUCCAGUGCCAAUUAGGGUGA